GACCCCGUAGCUCAGUUGGCAGAGCAUUGGGCUAGUAUUCCAAAGGUCGUAGGUUCGAGUCCCACCGUGGUCG
rnacentral:tRNA from 1 species